GUGAAACUGCGAAUGGGCUCAUUAAAUCAGUUAUCGUUUAUUUGAUAUUACCUUACUACAUGGAUAACCGUGGUAAUUCUAGAGCUAAUACAUGCUUAAAAGUCCCGACUCACGAAGGGAUGUAUUUAUUAGAUAAAAAACCAAUGUCUUCGGACUCCUUGGUGAUUCAUAAUAACUUUUCGAAUCGCAUGGCCUUGUGCCGGCGAUGGUUCAUUCAAAUUUCUGCCCUAUCAA
rnacentral:rRNA from 1 species